UUGAGUAGGAUUGUAAGCAUCAAAUAACCUUGAUUGUAAGAGACUAGCUUUGCUUGUUAGCUGCCUACCAAUGUUUUCUUGCCUGUCGUGUUUUGAUUUUGAACGAAUUAAACUGAACAUAACCACAAUCAUUUUAACCUGAAAAGCUGGCUAGAAAGUAAUUACUGUAUUAUUAACUUUAGCUUAAACGUUUUUCAUUAGAACAAGCUUGAUUUCUUGUUAUUUGCUUGCUAGCUAACAUGAGUAGGAUUGCAAGCAUCAUUUAUCAUUUAUGAAGGCUAGCUUUGCUUCCCUCGCGAGCGCGCGAUCAAAGCACAGAAACCACGCGAGCGUCUCUUACCCGCAGCUCCUCUGCAGAGGAGAGAGAAGCUUGUCACUCAAAUGCAGAUGAAUGAGACGUACACGAUAACCAGUACAACUUCCGGCUGCUGUGUUUACGUUCGGAUACUCUACGAUACUAGAGGGGGUUGAAGUCCCUCUGCAAGCUCCUCAGUGUCACAGUUAAAUGUUUCACUUUGGCAGCUCUUCAGGUCAGGUUAGGUCAUGUGGGCCUAUCACAGUCAUGCUGAUUUCUCUCAGAAAGUACACCUGAGGCAACAUAUUCCGUGUGUAAAUUAUAUUUCAGUUAAUAUUUCAUACUUAUUUAGGAGUUAGAGUUACAGCAUCCACUUUGGGGGUUUCAGAUAUCUUCUUCAACACAAGAUCUUUAAACAGUGUUUCGGAGAGGGAGCUGGUUGGUAUCUGGGGGCCAUUUUGUGGUUGAUUAUGAGACUUGUUGACCUCAAAAUGCAACUAAACUCAAAGUGUGAUCACUGGGAUCUUCUUCCUCUCUCAUCAUCUUCCUCACUGUGUGGGGGUACCGCAUGUGUCCCACCUUGUUUGAGAGGAAGGUUGCUGACAUCUGCAAUUCUUUCAAGAUGGAGUCCUCAGACACAUUAGGCAAUCCUUUCCCCAGACAACCCUCCCCCUCUCCCCACUCCCCCAAAUCACACAGACGAGACAAACAGCAGGAGGACUCGGUGACUCAAGCAUGAUGGCAGAGGAAAGGGAAUAUUCACACUGCAUUUUGCUCCAGAGUUGAACCUCUCCGGGGUCAAACACCUAUCAUCUGGAGGCCUGGAUGGGUGACCUCGCUCUUCUGAACCAUUUUUGGCUGACAGUGAAACAUGACCUCUGCUGACCUCAUCUGGACACAGGAGGCUACUCCCCCACAUCAUCAUAGUCCAUCCCACUGGGAGCUGGAGGGGUUUCAGCCAGAACACUCUCCCCUACAGGGACGGAUCAGGAGACAGACAGACACAGUCAGGGAAAGGCUCAUUUUCACCAAAUACCUGCUGUGAUCUUGUAAUUCUAUACUGA